rnacentral:tRNA from 1 species
GUUUGGGUAGUUUAAUAAAAAUUUUGAUUUGUGGUGUCAAAGAUGUGUGGUUCACCCUGAAUC